GCGGGGAAAAGCUCAGUUGGUAGAGCGCAACCUUGCCAAGGUUGAGGUCGCGAGUUCGAAUCUCGUUUCCCGCUCCA
rnacentral:tRNA from 1 species